rnacentral:rRNA from 1 species
UGGGGUAAAGGCCUACCAAGGCGACGAUCAGUAGCGGGUCUGAGAGGAUGAUCCGCCACACUGGAACUGAGACACGGUCCAGACUCCUACGGGAGGCAGCAGUGGGGAAUUUUGGACAAUGGGGGCAACCCUGAUCCAGCCAUUCCGCGUGAGUGAAGAAGGCCUUCGGGUUGUAAAGCUCUUUCAGCUGGAACGAAACGGUACGCUCUAACAUAGCGUGCUAAUGACGGUACCAGCAGAAGAAGCACCGGCUAACUACGUGCCAGCAGCCGCGGUAAUACGUAGGGUGCGAGCGUUAAUCGGAAUUACUGGGCGUAAAGCGUGCGCAGGCGGAUUGUUAAGCAAGACGUGAAAUCCCCGGGCUUAACCUGGGAAUGGCGUUUUGAACUGGCAGUCUAGAGUGUGUCAGAGGGGGGUAGAAUUCCACGUGUAGCAGUGAAAUGCGUAGAGAUGUGGAGGAAUACCAAUGGCGAAGGCAGCCCCCUGGGAUAACACUGACGCUCAUGUACGAAAGCGUGGGUAGCAAACAGGAUUAGAUACCCUGGUAGUCCACGCCCUAAACGAUGUCAACUGGUUGUUGGGGGAGUGAAAUCCCUUAGUAACGAAGCUAACGCGUGAAGUUGACCGCCUGGGGAGUACGGUCGCAAGAUUAAAACUUAAAGGAAUUGACGG